rnacentral:rRNA from 1 species
UACGUAGGGUGCGAGCGUUAAUCGGAAUUACUGGGCGUAAAGCGUGCGCAGGCGGUUUUGUAAGUCAGAUGUGAAAUCCCCGGGCUUAACCUGGGAAUGGCAUUUGGGACUGCAAGGCUGGAGUUUGGCAGAGGAGACUGGAAUUCCUGGUGUAGCAGUGAAAUGCGUAGAUAUCAGGAGGAAUACCGAUGGCGAAGGCAGGUCUCUGGGCUGACACUGACGCUCAUGCACGAAAGCGUGGGGAGCAAACAGG